GACGUAGGGCGUGAGCGUUGUCCGGAUUUAUUGGGCGUAAAGAGCUUGUAGGCGGCUUGUCGCGUCGACUGUGAAAACUCGGGGCUCAACUCCGAGCUUGCAGUCGAUACGGGCAGGCUAGAGUUCGGUAGGGGAGACUGGAAUUCCUGGUGUAGCGGUGAAAUGCGCAGAUAUCAGGAGGAACACCCGUGGCGAAGGCGGGUCUCUGGGCCGUAACUGACGCUGAGGAGCGAAAGCGUGGGGAGCGAACAGG
rnacentral:rRNA from 1 species